rnacentral:rRNA from 1 species
UUAGUCUAGUCAGAGGAACCUGUUCAUUAAUCGAUAAGCCUCGUAAUAUCUUACUUAUUUUAGAAUUGCUUAGCUUGUAUACCAUCAUUAUCAGAUAAUUUUAUUAAAGAAUGAAAUUAUUAAAAUUAAUAUUAUUAUAAAAAUUAGAUCAAGGUGCAGCUUAUGAAUAAGUUAGAAUGGGUUACAAUAGAAAUUUAUUUAGAACGGAUUAAUUUUUGAAAAAAAAUUAUAAAGGAGGAUUUGAUGGUAAAAUAAAUUUAAAAAGUUGG